CUUAACACAUGCAAGUCGAGGGGCAGCAUGGUCUUAGCUUGCUAAGGCCGAUGGCGACCGGCGCACGGGUGAGUAACACGUAUCCAACCUGCCGUCUACUCUUGGACAGCCUUCUGAAAGGAAGAUUAAUACAAGAUGGCAUCAUGAGUCCGCAUGUUCACAUGAUUAAAGGUAUUCCGGUAGACGAUGGGGAUGCGUUCCAUUAGAUAGUAGGCGGGGUAACGGCCCACCUAGUCUUCGAUGGAUAGGGGUUCUGAGAGGAAGGUCCCCCACAUUGGAACUGAGACACGGUCCAAACUCCUACGGGAGGCAGCAGUGAGGAAUAUUGGUCAAUGGGCGAGAGCCUGAACCAGCCAAGUAGCGUGAAGGAUGACUGCCCUAUGGGUUGUAAACUUCUUUUAUAAAGGAAUAAAGUCGGGUAUGGAUACCCGUUUGCAUGUACUUUAUGAAUAAGGAUCGGCUAACUCCGUGCCAGCAGCCGCGGUAAUACGGAGGAUCCGAGCGUUAUCCGGAUUUAUUGGGUUUAAAGGGAGCGUAGAUGGAUGUUUAAGUCAGUUGUGAAAGUUUGCGGCUCAACCGUAAAAUUGCAGUUGAUACUGGAUAUCUUGAGUGCAGUUGAGGCAGGCGGAAUUCGUGGUGUAGCGGUGAAAUGCUUAGAUAUCACGAAGAACUCCGAUUGCGAAGGCAGCCUGCUAAGCUGCAACUGACAUUGAGGCUCGAAAGUGUGGGUAUCAAACAGGAUUAGAUACCCUGGUAGUCCACACGGUAAACGAUGAAUACUCGCUGUUUGCGAUAUACUGCAAGCGGCCAAGCGAAAGCGUUAAGUAUUCCACCUGGGGAGUACGCCGGCAACGGUGAAACUCAAAGGAAUUGACGGGGGCCCGCACAAGCGGAGGAACAUGUGGUUUAAUUCGAUGAUACGCGAGGAACCUUACCCGGGCUUAAAUUGCAGAUGAAUUACGGUGAAAGCCGUAAGCCGCAAGGCAUCUGUGAAGGUGCUGCAUGGUUGUCGUCAGCUCGUGCCGUGAGGUGUCGGCUUAAGUGCCAUAACGAGCGCAACCCUUGUUGUCAGUUACUAACAGGUUCCGCUGAGGACUCUGACAAGACUGCCAUCGUAAGAUGUGAGGAAGGUGGGGAUGACGUCAAAUCAGCACGGCCCUUACGUCCGGGGCUACACACGUGUUACAAUGGGGGGUACAGAGGGCCGCUACCACGCGAGUGGAUGCCAAUCCCCAAAACCUCUCUCAGUUCGGACUGGAGUCUGCAACCCGACUCCACGAAGCUGGAUUCGCUAGUAAUCGCGCAUCAGCCACGGCGCGGUGAAUACGUUCCCGGGCCUUGUACACACCGCCCGUCAAGCCAUGGGAGCCGGGGGUACCUGAAGUGCGUAACCGCGAGGAGCGCCCUAGGGUAAAACUGGUGACUGGGGCUAAGUCAUAACAA
rnacentral:rRNA from 1 species